GAUGAACGCUGGCGGCGUGCUUAACACAUGCAAGUCGAACGUGAAGAAGCAGCAAUGUUUCUGAAAGUGGCGGACGGGUGAGUAACACGUGGGUGACCUGCCUUGCAGAGGGGGGAUAACGAGGGGAAACCUUCGCUAAUACCGCAUAGGCUUACACUGAUGGGAAUGGUGUGGGUAAAACUGAGGUGCUGCAAGAGGGGCCUGCGUCCGAUUAGCUAGUUGGUGAGGUAAUGGCUCACCAAGGCGAUGAUCGGUAGCUGGUCUGAGAGGACGAUCAGCCACACGGGAACUGAGAAACGGUCCCGACUCCUACGGGGGGCAGCAGUGAGGAAUAUUGGGCAAUGGACGAAAGUCUGACCCAGCAACGCCGCGUGGAGGAUGAAGGUUUUGGAUUGUAAACUCC
rnacentral:rRNA from 1 species